ACUUAAAUAGCUUAUAGUUAGAGCAUGAUAUUGAAGAUAUCAGGGAAGUUUAAAACUUUUAAGUA
rnacentral:tRNA from 1 species